rnacentral:tRNA from 1 species
AGGAGCUUAGGAUAACAUAAGUCCAAGGGCCUUCAAAGUCCUAAGUGGGGGUGAAAAUCCCCCAGCCCCUG